rnacentral:rRNA from 1 species
AGAGUUUGAUCAUGGCUCAGAUUGAACGCUGGCGGAAUGCUUUACCAUGCAAGUCGAGCGGCAGCGCGGGGCAACCUGGCGGCGAGCGGCGAACGGGUGAGUAAUGUAUCGGAACGUAUCCUUAAGUGGGGGACAACUAGUCGAAAGACUAGCUAAUACCGCAUACGAUCGAGAGAUGAAAGUGGGGGACCGCAAGGCCUCACGCUUUUGGAGCGGCCGAUAUCCGAUUAGCUUGUUGGUGAGGUAAAGGCUUACCAAGGCUAUGAUCGGUAGCUGGUCUGAGAGGAUGAUCAGCCACACUGGGACUGAGACACGGCCCAGACUCCUACGGGAGGCAGCAGUGGGGAAUUUUGGACAAUGGGGGCAACCCUGAUCCAGCCAUUCCGCGUGAGUGAAGAAGGCCUUCGGGUUGUAAAGCUCUUUUGUCGGGGACGAAACGGUUUCACCUAAUACGUGAGACUACUGACGGUACCCGAAGAAUAAGCACCGGCUAACUACGUGCCAGCAGCCGCGGUAAUACGUAGGGGGCAAGCGUUGUCCGGAUUUAUUGGGCGUAAAGAGCUCGUAGGCGGUUCCGUAAGUCGAGUGUGAAAAAUCUGGGCUCAACCCAGU